GUGAGUGAGUCCGAAAGUUCUUCUAGUAGUUUCUCUUGUCGGCGCUAUGACGCUGAGGGCGCGUCCAGCUCUAUGGCGUCGUCUCCACUCGCUUGUCGGAGAUUCGCCGCAAAAUCGGAGUUCCCAGCCCCAAUGAUGCCGCCAUUCAUGUUCCCGGUCAUUGGCGGGAAAGAUGUAGUGCUAAAAUCGGAGUUCCCAGCCCCAAUGAUACCAACAUUCAUGUUCCCGGUCAUUGGCGGGAAAGAUGCAAUGCUCUGUAAUGACGAGUCCGAGAAACGCCAAGC
rnacentral:lncRNA from 1 species